GAUGAACGCUGGCUACAGGCUUAACAUAUGCAAGUCGAGGGGAAACGACGGGGAAGCUUGCUUCCCCGGGCGUCGACCGGCGCACGGGUGAGUAACGCGUAUCCAACCUGCCUCUGACUGAGGGAUAACCCGUCGAAAGUCGGCCUAAUACCUCAUGGUAUCGUCUGCGGGCAUCCAACGACAAUUAAAGAUUUCAUCGGUCAGGGAUGGGGAUGCGUCUGAUUACCUUGUUGGCGGGGUAACGGCCCGCCAAGGCUCCCUGCGGUAGGGGUUCUGAGACGAAGGUCCCCCACAUUGGAACUGAGACACGGUCCAAACUCCUACAGGAGGCAUCAGGGAGGAAUAUUGGUCAAUGCGCGACAGCCUUUACUUCUCUCAACUCGCGUGCCCCCCCCACGGGCUUAUUUGUUUUCAACUCUCUUUUACUCCGUUAU
rnacentral:rRNA from 1 species